CGUAGAAACUUGAGAAGGCUCUUCCCUAGUAAACCCUAACGGGUUUUGCUACUUUCCCGAGUAAUCGGGAUUGAAAAUAUGGCUAAUAACGGUGGAAGCUUCAUUCUUUUUAUGGUAAAAUUACGAUGCUUGAGGACCAUAAAAAAAUAAGUCAAUACCGUGGGAAGUCGAUCUAUCAUCUUAAAAAAGCAUGUGGAAUUUGCAUAUAUAGCUGGUUUCCUCGAUGGAGACGGCAGUAUAAUGUUGCAAAUAAAAAAACGUAGUGAUGCGCGUAUUGGUUGGCGUUUCAUGUGCACUAUCUGUUUUUAUCAGGAUAGUCGCCAUGAAAAACCGCUCUACUGGAUACGCAAGAAGCUCAACAUUGGUUACAUUUCCAAAAGAAAUGACAGAAUCACAGAGCUUCGCAUAAAUGGGUAUAAUCAAUGUGAAAAAAUCAUGAAAUCACUGUAUCCAUAUAUACGUUUCAAAAAACCACAGGCAGAAGCGUUCCUAAGGGCUGCCCAUCUCCUGAAAAGGAAACAGGCAGGCGCACUUACAUCAACAGAAAAACAGCGCUUGAUAAAAUAUAUGAUGAAAAUUCAGUCAUGUAAUUAUCAAUCGUCAGGAAAACGCUCUGCUGCGCAAUACAAAAAAAUGAUAGGUUUGACCCCGUAACGACUGAAGUCCGAAAUACCAUCGGACUGAGAUAAAGGAUACUGAUCAUAAGGAAUAAUGCCUUUAUCACACGCCAUCCCCUACUCCAGAAAAUGGACAAGAGGGUGAAGAUAUAGUCUAUGCACAUAGAAAUAUGUGAAAACAUGACGAGAGGACCGGGAAGAACAAACCUCUGGUGUAUCGGUUGUCCUGCCAAGGGCAUCGCCGAGUAGCCAAGUUUGGUUCAGAUAAACGCUGAAAGCAUCUAAGCGUGAAGCUGUCUUCAAGAUGAGGUUUCAUUAUAGGUCCCCCAAAGACUAUGGGGUUGAUAGGCUCAACGUAGAAGUCCCGUAAGGGAUGGAGCGAAAGAGUACUAAUAGACCAA
rnacentral:ncRNA from 1 species